rnacentral:rRNA from 1 species
UUUCCAGACUCCUACGGGAGGCAGCAGUGGGGAAUAUUGGGCAAUGGGCGCAAGCCUGACCCAGCGACGCCGCGUGAGGGAAGACGGUCUUCGGAUUGUAAACCUCUUUCAGCAGGGAAGACAAAAGGACGGUACCUGCAGAAGAAGCCACGGCUAACUACGUGCCAGCAGCCGCGGUAAUACGUAGGUGGCAAGCGUUGUCCGGAUUUACUGGGUGUAAAGGGCGUGCAGCCGGAGAGACAAGUCAGAUGUGAAAUCCACGGGCUCAACCCGUGAACUGCAUUUGAAACUGUUUCCCUUGAGUGUCGGAGAGGUAAUCGGAAUUCCUUGUGUAGCGGUGAAAUGCGUAGAUAUAAGGAAGAACACCAGUGGCGAAGGCGGAUUACUGGACGAUAACUGACGGUGAGGCGCGAAAGCGUGGGGAGCAAACAGGAUUAGAUACCCCUGUAA